UUUUUAAUAGGCCGGGACAGAAAAACUUCGUUAUAAAUUCAUAACUUCUUCGUUUGACGUCCGUUCAAGCCUAACUUUUUAUCGCUUCGAUGCCAACAACGAUACCUUCGAUCCUCGUUUAGAUUGCUUCGGCUAAAAACCCCUCGAUCUCAAAUCGAGUAUUUCAGGCUGCAUACCGCUAAGCUGAAACUUCGAUAAAUCAUAACUUCCUCAUACCUAGUCAGAUUUGGGCGUUCUAUAUAUAUAUUCGGAAACCUCAUUUCAACUACUACAACAUUAACCAAAGAUAUCAAGUUUAUUUUACACUUAAAUUUUGAUGCUUAUUUUUAUUCUUAAUUAAUCAAACCACAUAAUUAAGCAAUUAAGCACAAAACACAUAAUACUCAAAUAAUACAAUCUUAUUAUUUCAAAACGGGCUAGUCAGAUUUGGGCGUUCUAUAUAUAUAUUCGGAAACCUCAUUUCAACUACUACAACAUUAACCAAAGAUAUCAAGUUUAUUUUACACUUAAAUUUUGAUGCUUAUUUUUAUUCUUAAUUAAUCAAACCACAUAAUUAAGCAAUUAAGCACAAAACACAUAAUACUCAAA
rnacentral:lncRNA from 1 species